UUUUAGGUUUUUUGUUGUUACUUAUUUUUUUUCUUUUAAAAAAAAAUACAUAUCAAUUAAUUAAUCAAGUUUUAGUUAUAAGGUUAAGCUAAAAUUUUAAUUAUGCUAAUAAUAAAAUUUAGUUUUCAUUAAUCAAUAAAAGUAAUAAAAUUAGUUAAUUAAUGUAAUUUUAUUUUAGUUAAUUGAUUCACCCUUUGUUAAUCCUUUUUACUAUGAUCAUUAUCCAUGUAUGUUCAUUCAAUUUCACUCAUUCAAAU
rnacentral:lncRNA from 1 species